CAAAAGAUAAGCUAAGAGUAAGCUAAUGGGUUCAUACCCCAUGAAUGAGGAAAUACCUCUCUUUUAA
rnacentral:tRNA from 1 species